GAAUUCGCCCUUAGAGUUUGAUCCUGGCUCAGGACGAAAGCUGGCGGCAUGCCUAACACAUGCAAGUCGAACGGAAAGUAGCAAUAUUUUCAGUGGCGAACGGGUGAGUAACACUUGAGCAACCUACCUUGUACUUUGGAAUAACUCCUAGAAAUGGGUGCUAAUACCGAAUAAGACCACGAAGAGGCAUCUCUUCGGGGUCAAAGCUCCGGCGGUACAAGAUGGGCUCGAGUCCAAUUAGCUAGAUGGUGAGAUAACAGCCCACCAUGGCAACGAUUGGUAGCCGGCCUGAGAGGGUGAUCGGCCACACUGGAACUGAGACACGGUCCAGACUCCUACGGGAGGCAGCAGUGGGGAAUAUUGGGCAAUGGGCGAAAGCCUUACCCAGCAAUGCCGCGUGUAUGAAGAAGGUCUUCGGAUUGUAAAGUACUAUAUUGGGGAAGAACACAAUGACGGUACCCAAGAGAAAAAGCCCCGGCUAACUAUGUGCCAGCAGCCGCGGUAAUACAUAGGGGGCUAGCUUUGUUCGGAAUUACUGGGCGUAAAGGGUGCGUAGGUGGCAAUGUAUGUUGGAAGUGUAAUCCCUCGGGCUUAACUCAGGGGCUGCUUCCAAAACUGCAUUACUUGAGUGUCGGAGAGGAAAACGGAAUUCCUAGUGUAGCGGUGAAAUGCUCAGAUAUUAGGAGGAACACCAGAGGCGAAGGCGGUUUUCUGGACGACAACUGACGCUGAGGCACGAAAGCGUGGGGAGCGAUUGGGAUUAGAUACCCCAGUAGUCCACGCCGUAAAUGAUGGGUACUUGAUGUUGGGAGUAUCAACUCUUCCAGUGUCGUAGCAAACGCGAUAAGUACCCCGCCUGGGGAGUACGGCCGCAAGGUUGAAACUCAAAGGAAUUGACGGGGGCCCGCACAAGCGGAGGAACAUGUGGUUUAAUUCGAUGAUACGCGAGGAACCUUACCUGGGCUUAAAUGUAUAGUGCAUAAUAUGGAAACAUAUUUUUCCUUCGGGACUCUUUACAAGGUGCUGCAUGGUUGUCGUCAGCUCGUGCCGUGAGGUGUCGGGUUAAGUCCCAUAACGAGCGCAACCCUCAUCGCCAGUUGCCAGCAUGUAAUGAUGGGGACUCUGGUGAAACUGCCGGUGUAAACCGUGAGGAAGGUGGGGAUGACGUCAAAUCAGCACGGCCCCUAUGUCCAGGGCUACACACGUGUUACAAUGGCCAAUACAAAGGGCAGCCACCCGGCGACGGGGUGCUAAUCCAUAAAGAUGGUCUUAGUUCGGAUCGGAGUGUGCAACUCGACUCCGUGAAGCUGGAUUCGCUAGUAAUCGUAGAUCAGC
rnacentral:rRNA from 1 species